UUAAAAAGUUCCAUUAUUCUACA
rnacentral:siRNA from 1 species